GUGAAAUCUCAAGCUAAAAGGGGAUUUAGGCAGGAUUUUUUUUUUUUUUUUUUUUUUUUUUUGCUUUUAGCUUAAAAAGUAACAAUUUUCUUAAACUGAGAAAACAGAGCAACUUUGUUUUGCAGAUCCUUCAGUAAAGGUGACUGCACAUAACUUCACCUGAAGCUGUGAGGAAUGAGACCUAAGCUUGGGUAAGAGAAUCUGAAAAGAAACAGGGAUUCUACUGUGGGAGAGUUAAUUUGGACUUUUUGUUAUUAUUUUUUUAUAUUCUUUUCUUAGAGCAUUUAUGAUCAAAUUGAGAUUAAGUUAGGCCUCUCUAAACUCUUCAUGUGUAUUUAUGCACUAAAUUAACUUGAAUUAUUUCUAUUUUUUGGCAAUUUUCACUGCUGGUAAUCAAUGCAAUGCUUACUGUGAGCUCUCUGAUCCUGCAAGUUAGCUCAGGACCCAGGCUCAGAUCCCAACAUUGCAGCAUGGCAUGCUGCCACUUAAGCACUUCAUUAUAUGUAUGGUGACAAGGAACCACACUGUGCCCUUUACAAAAGUUUCAAGGAAAUGUGAAAUCCCAUUGACUUGUCUGCCAAUGGAACUUUGCCAGGAUCAGGUAGUGAGAAGCAUGAGGCAAGUGAGGGGGGUGGCUCCUGGUGCUUCUUGUGUACUAAGAGUAACAAUUAAAAAAACACACUGCUUUUGAGAGAUAGGUCAGUAAGUUUGGUGUCAAGGAGCUAAAAAGAGUGCCAUAUGGGGCUGGAAAGCUCUGCAGAGGUUACUAAUCAACCUUUUUCUGUGGUCCCCAACCUACUUGGAUGACUGUACUUAUCUGGAUACUGUGCUAAUUUUGCAAGUGGUUAUUCUUACCUAUGGCAUCUGUUUAUUCUGUAUUCACCUCUCAGGCUGCAUGUAUGAAACUGAGUAUCAAUGAAGCUGUUGGGAUUUUCCACUGUGAUUGAAAUAAUCUCUCCUGAUGUUCCACCAGUAGUCUAAUUUAAUUGCUUUGAUUUAAAUACUGGUUUAGUGGGAAACGCAGACAAAUAUAAUAACGAAAAUGAGGUGCAUACUGUACUCGUUUUAUGUGUCGUGUGAUGUCUGCACUCAACUGUAGCUUUCUAGUAAUAAAGAGCAAUCUCUGAGUCACAGGGCAGGGACAACUGGUCACCAAGCAAGUUUAGGUGUAAAUGUAGGCCUUGAAUUCUUUCUGAAGAAGUUUAACAUUUUUGUGUAAGCUACAUUAGUACUCACUUUAGAUUGCACGUUAAUAACAGCAUGUUGUAAUUUCAUUUUCAAUAUUUUUGGGUUCUCCUGUGUUAACAGAAGAAAACUUGUAUUUACAUAAGUUUAUGUAGUCUUUCAAAGAACGUGUAUUAAUUGUGUGCCAAGAAGGUAAAUGUCAUAGCUGAAAAUGAAUUUGUAAAGUUUUCAGUGUAGAUGAAAAUUGGUAUUGUAUAUAACCAUUGCUUAGGAGGUCUCUUCUUUGUCUCUGGUAUAAAAUUUAGGGGUAUAAUAUCAACAUGUCUGAUGGAAUAUCUGUAGUGAAGUCAUGCUACAAGCUAUGUAAGGCAGUAAGAGACAAGUGUCAAUUUAAAAUAGAAUAGUGAGUAAUCACUUAGCUUAUCCUUUCCAAGAUUUUAUGGAUAUGUAAUGAAGAUUCAUCUUUUUGAAACAACUAUUUGUCUUCAGGAAAACGUGUCUUUUAUGUGCUUAAAGAGAGAUUUACUCUGUAAUGCAUGAAAGCUAGAUGCACAAAUGAAAUAUCUGUUUAUAAAUUCUUCUGGUCAUUGCAGAGAUUCUACCUAAUUCUUUUAAAAGGAAUAAAUAUGACAUAGGUUUUACACAGAUGAUGGUUAUCGAAAGGACACAUAACGUAGGCUCCAACUGCGUUUGUAAUAGUUCAGAUCUGUACAUGAAAUAUGUUCUCUACUUAAGAAAAGAAUGA
ensembl:lncRNA